rnacentral:rRNA from 1 species
AUUGAACGCUGGCGGCAUGCCUUACACAUGCAAGUCGAACGGCAUCGGGGGAGAAGCUUGCUUUUCCUGCCGGCGAGUGGCGAACGGGUGAGUAAUACAUCGGAACGUGCCCUGUAGUGGGGGAUAACUAGUCGAAAGAUUAGCUAAUACCGCAUACGACCUGAGGGUGAAAGUGGGGGACCGCAAGGCCUCAUGCUAUAGGAGCGGCCGAUGUCUGAUUAGCUAGUUGGUGGGGUAAAGGCCUACCAAGGCGACGAUCAGUAGCUGGUCUGAGAGGACGAUCAGCCUCACUGGGACUGAGACACGGCCCAGACUCCUACGGGAGGCAGCAGUGGGGAAUUUUGGACAAUGGGGGCAACCCUGAUCCAGCAAUGCCGCGUGUGUGAAGAAGGCCUUCGGGUUGUAAAGCACUUUUGUCCGGAAAGAAAUCGCGCUGGUUAAUACCUGGCGUGGAUGACGGUACCGGAAGAAUAAGCACCGGCUAACUACGUGCCAGCCGCCGCAGUAA